ACACACACAGUCAGGGGCACAUGUCUAGUGAGCUAAAUGUCAUGACGCACACAAAUCUCUUUCUCUUCAACACACACACACACACACACACACACACACACACACACACACACACACACACACACACACACACACACACACACACACACACACACACACACACACACACACACACACACACACACACACACACACACACACACACGAUUCAAAUACCAUGCUGCACACAAUCUCUCAAUCUCUCACAACAUUAUGUCAUUAUCUUGCUACUGUGGGUUCUAAUAAUUGCCCCCAGUCACGUAGUACACAUUGCAAUUCUUUAAUCUGUACAGAAAGCACCAACACACCCAAAGCUGUUAAUUUCACUCCACCCUGUUUGGAAGUAAUACGCACGUACGCGCGCAAGUACACACACACACAUAUAUACACGAACACACACACGCGCACAUACACGCACGCACACGAGCGCGCGAACACACACACGCGCACGCACACACACGCGUACACAUACACGCACGUACGCACACGCACGUACGCACACACGCACACGCACGUACGCACACGCGCACGCACACACACGCACGCACACACACACAGGCACACGCACGCACAUGCACACACUCCUCCAAAUCAGAAGACUGAGAUUCUGUUGUUCCGUGUUGCCGUGAUUGAAAAGUGCACAUGGGUCGCAUUGGCCAAGCUCACCAUCCAGCAUCACAGACACCAGAUACAGACGGGCACGCACACCCACGCGCACACACAUUAUGAAUAAUAACAAUCUUGUCUGAAAGACCAAAAAAAAAAAAAAAAAGCCUGCAUCAAUUUGUUCAUGGCCCCGUUCGUGGUGGCGCAUUUCUGCUUUUGCUGGGCUGACCAGAAUGCAUCAAACUGGCAAAGUGUGCAUCAGGCUUGUACGAAAUUCCGAAUUGAAAGAAUUUCAAUUCAAAGUAAUGCCAUAAUACAAACACUAGGUGGUGGUGUUCCAUGUACUUUCAAUGGGUGGUGUAGAUUAAAUUCAAAGAAAUUCAAGGUAAUGACACCACCUAGUGUUCGUAUUAUGGCAUUACUUUGAAUUGAAAUUCAUUCAAUUCGGAAUUUCGUACAAGCCUGGUGUGCAUGCGUGCUGCAUAGCAAAAGCAUCACUGCUUCAUCACGAACGAAGCCCAUGUCACAGACUUGCAGUGGUGUGUCUGUGUGCCCAUGUGUCUUGUGUG